rnacentral:rRNA from 1 species
UAUGUGAUCGUCUCUCGCAUAUCAAUAAGCGGAGGAAAAGAAACUAACAAGGAUUCCCCUAGUAACGGCGAGUGAAGCGGGAAGAGCUCAAAUUUGAAAUCUUAAAGGGUUUCCCUUUACGAAUUGUAGUUUAAAGAAGUGUUUUCUGUUGAGGUUUUGGUAAAAGUUCUUUGGAAUAGGACAUCAUAGAGGGUGAGAAUCCCGUAUUUGACCUUUACUUUCAACUUUGUGAUACACUUUCAAAGAGUCGGAUUGUUUGGGAAUGCAGUCCAAAAUGGGUGGUAAAUUUCAUCUAAAGCUAAAUAUUGGCGAGAGACCGAUAGCGAACAAGUACCGUGAGGGAAAGAUGAAAAGAACUUUGAAAAGAGAGUUAAACAGUACGUGAAAUUGUCAAAAGGGAAGCGUUUGACACCAGUGUUGUUUUUCUGUAAAUCAAUUAAAGAACUGUUUAUGCUAAGUUGUUUAGACUUUAUCAGCUAUCUGCUUAGUUUUGAGCUUUUCUUUAAUGCACUUUUCAGUUAACAAGUCAACAUCAAUUUCUUUUGCUGUAAAAAAGCUUGAGGAAGGUGGCUUGAGAUUCGUCUUAAGUGUUUAUAGCCUCUUGCCUAUGCAGUCGGAGAGAUUGAGGUCUGCAGCGUAGAUCCUUCGGGGCUAAAUGCAUUUGUGCUAAGUUAUAGCAUUUUAUAGACAACUUGUUGACUAUGAUUUGUCUUGUAGCUUACUCGCUUAUGUUAUUUUACCUACGCUUAGGAUGUUGAUCUACAGAGCGAGAGU